rnacentral:rRNA from 1 species
AUACGUAGGUCCCGAGCGUUGUCCGGAUUUAUUGGGCGUAAAGCGAGCGCAGGUGGUUGUAUAAGUCUGAAGUAAAAGGCAGUGGCUCAACCAUUGUGUGCUUUGGAAACUGUACAACUUGAGUGCAGAAGGGGAGAGUGGAAUUCCAUGUGUAGCGGUGAAAUGCGUAGAUAUAUGGAGGAACACCGGUGGCGAAAGCGGCUCCCUGGUCUGUAACUGACACUGAGGCUCGAAAGCGUGGGGAGC